ACGGGAGGCAGCAGUGGGGAAUUUUGGACAAUGGGGGCAACCCUGAUCCAGCAAUGCCGCGUGAGUGAAGAAGGCCUUCGGGUUGUAAAGCUCUUUUGUCAGGGAAGAAAGGUGAGAUGCUAAUACCAUUUCAUGAUGACGGUACCUGAAGAAUAAGCACCGGCUAACUACGUGCCAGCAGCCGCGGUAAUACGUAGGGUGCGAGCGUUAAUCGGAAUUACUGGGCGUAAAGGGUGCGCAGGCGGUUAUGUAAGACAGAUGUGAAAUGCUCGGGCUUAACCUGAGAAUUGCAUUUGUGACUGCAUGGCUAGAGUGUGUCAGAGGGGGGUAGAAUUCCACAUGUAGCAGUGAAAUGCGUAGAUAUGUGGAGGAAUACCGAUGGCGAAGGCAGCCCCCUGGGAUAACACUGACGCUCAGGCACGAAAGCGUGGGGAGCAAACAGGAUUAGAUACCCUGGUA
rnacentral:rRNA from 1 species